GAGGGUAGAGCUCAGUGGUAGAGCACAUGCUUAGCAUGCACUAGGUCUUGGGUUCGAUCCCCAGUACCUCCA
rnacentral:tRNA from 1 species